GGUUAUAUUGGGAUAGAGGGUUUUGGUACAGACCUGCAAAGGAAGAAUCCAAAAUAAGAGGUCAGCCUUCACAACGGUUGUUUGUUACCACCUAUUAAGACAGAAGAUGCAAGGCUUGUGAACAGGACAAGGAUCAUUCUUGAAAGAUGAGCAGCUGGACCUGGUGUCCAGCCCACAGUAUCAUCACGUGGUUCCUUAGAGCCCCACCCAUUUCCCUCUUGGUUGUUUUCAUUCGUUCAGAGUUUCCUGUUUGCCACUGCCCAUCAGACACAGUGCUAGCUUGGCUCAGAUCUGGCACAAAAGAGGAAACUUUGAUUGUCCAUAGCUCUUGCAUUUUAGAAGGAAGCAAUCUUGCUUUUAGUUCCCUUCAUCCCCACCUCCCACAUCUAUGCUGAUUGUCUUGUUGGAAAGAGGUUGCCCACCACCCUCAAGGGCAUUACAGACAGACUCAGAGGAAGAGGCCUUGAGGUCCAGCAUCCUUCAUCAACAGCUGAGAAGAGAAUGCUGGAGGGUAGGACCUGUGCAGACACAGAGCCCCUCCAACAAGGAGUUUGAAUAACCUGGAAACAAGUGAGCAGCCUCUCGCCAACAGUAUUUUUGGAAGCCGUUGGAGAAAAUGAAGACCAGUAUGAAUCAAAAAAAUGAAGCAAACACACUCUAGAACACUGGUUCUAGAGCCAGGGUGCUGCAUCUUUGCUACUGCCGGUCAUUCAGACAGAUAAUUCUAGGCUUGUUCUGGCAUGGGGCCACCUGGACACAGAAGCACAUAUAGUAGCAUUCCCAGCACAUAACUAGUAGAUGCCAAUAGCACACACUUAGCAAUGUGAUAAUAAAACCUCUCUAAAACAACGUCAAAGAUCUCAAGUGGGGGAAAUAAACAGCUUAGAGUUGAGGACUGAUGACGUAGGGGCACGGAGAUGAAAGAAAGAGGACAUGGGGCUGGAGAGGUGGUUCCAUAGUAGUUGAGAGCACUAAGUGCUCUGGCACAGGAUCUGGGUUUGGUUCCCAGCACCGACGCAGUGGCUCACAACUGCUUGUAAAUCCAGUUCCAUAGGAUCUGAUGCCCUCUUCAGAAACUUGCAAGUUGAUGUACACCUGUGGUGUGUACACACGCACUCAGGCACAGACAUAAACUUAACUACACAGAUCUUUCAAAAGAGGACACUCCUUGUUUAUUACAGGUGAGGCAUUAGGCUAGAUGUGUUUUUACAGAUAUUUCCUAGUGUGAUCCUUAAGAAAGGAUCAUUUUGUUUAUUUUACGUUAUUUAUUUUUUCUAUCAUCUACCCAGGAGGAAACUAAAGAUGAGAAAAACUGAACAACUUCUGAAGGUACAGAGCAUGUAUAUAGCAAAGUCAAGAUUCGAAUCUUAAGCUUGACUGAUGCCGCAGCCAAACACUGGCAAGUUGUCAAGCUCUUUAACUUGGGGUAGCUCUGUAUAAUGACCUGUAAGUCAUUCCUUUGAAAUCAGGCUGAGUCAUGAAACAUAUUCUAUAAAUUAUUUCUUACAUUUUAGCCAUCACCUCCCCAAAUGUCUAAAUGUGUCUCAAAAUACCUGACCUGAAUAUAAAGAAAAAUGAAAACGUGGAAUCCUCUCCUUCAUGUAUGUAUAACAAUGUAGAGUCUGGCCACAAGACUCUUGACUUGUCAGGCAAUCUCAAAAACUCUUAGUAGAUCAGAUUGAGGGAUGGACCUCAAUAUGAUACGUCUUUGAUGAACUCACAACAGCUCCCGAUGUGAAAAGCUCAAAGUUCAUUGGCAAAGAUAAACGACUCCAUGCUCUUACCACUUCCUACACAUUAAUAAAAGUCCUAGACUAAAAGGUUCUCUUCCUAGGAGAGGCAGGAAUGAAGUUAUCUUUAGAUGCUGAUGACCGGAUCAUAAAUGGAGAAGACCACUCCUAGCAAAACAUUGCUAAAAUGGUCGAGUAAGUACAUGUGCAAAGGUGUCAUAUUGAAAACCAGUAUUAUGUAUAGUUAAUAUAUACUGAUAAAAUAUUCAUAAAGCCCAUUAUGACUGAUCAAUUGAUAUAAAUAAAGUUAUAAGACAAAAA